rnacentral:rRNA from 1 species
UCGGAUCGCAGGCUGAAACCCGCCUGCGUGAAGUUGGAAUCGCUAGUAAUCGCGGAUCAGCAUGCCGCGGUGAAUACGUUCCCGGGCCUUGUACACACCGCCCGUCACACCAUGAGAGUCGGGAACACCCGAAGUCCGUAGUCUAACCGCAAGGGGGCGCGGCCGAAGGUGGGUUCGAUAAUUGGGGUGAAGUCGUAACAAGGUACC